rnacentral:lncRNA from 1 species
UCAAUUUCAUAAAGGCUAUUCAUGUGGUAUGAUUCCAAAGCCUCCUGUAAGCAAAUUCAGCUGUGACAGAACAAACCUCAUUUCUUUUAAAGUUCACCAUCGACUAAUUCAUCAAGAUAAGCUUGAGAAAGUAAGAGCAACAUAUAAGUUAUACUAGGUACUUCCUAUUCCAAAAUUUAUUUGUAUUCACCGAACAAAGUAAUAACAAAAGUAGAGAAUAUUCCGUUCUGGUUUCAGGCUCUAAACUCUCCCACAGAAAAAAAGACAUGAAACUUUUCGAAGCAACCAAGGUCUCUGCAAUUCCUU